CCCUUAGAUGUUCUGGGCCGCACGCGUGCUACACUGAGUAAUUCAAUGGGUAAGGGAACGCUAGAGCAUUACCUAAUCUUGAAAUUUGCUCGUGAUGGGGAUCGACGGUUGCAAUUUUCCGUCGUGAACGAGGAAUACCUUGUAGGCGCAUGUCAUCAUCAUGCGCCGAAUACGUCCCUGCCCUUUGUACACACCGCCCGUCGCUCCUACCGAUUGAGUGAUCCGGUGAGGCUCUGGGACCUGGACGGAAAGAGCGUUUCGCUUGUUCUGUUUGGGAAACUUCGUCGAACCUUAUCAUUUAGAGGAAGGAGAAGUCGUAACA
rnacentral:rRNA from 1 species